AUUGAACGCUGGCGGCAGGCUUAACACAUGCAAGUCGAGCGGGGUGAUGGUGCUUGCACUAUCACUUAGCGGCGGACGGGUGAGUAAUGCUUAGGAAUCUGCCUAUUAGUGGGGGACAACAUCUCGAAAGGGAUGCUAAUACCGCAUACGUCCUACGGGAGAAAGCAGGGGAUCACUUGUGACCUUGCGCUAAUAGAUGAGCCUAAGUCGGAUUAGCUAGUUGGUGGGGUAAAGGCCUACCAAGGCGACGAUCUGUAGCGGGUCUGAGAGGAUGAGCCGCCACACUGGGACUGAGACACGGCCCAGACUCCUACGGGAGGCAGCAGUGGGGAAUAUUGAACAAUGGGGGGAACCCUGAUCCAGCCAUGCCGCGUGUGUGAAGAAGGCCUUAUGGUUGUAAAGCACUUUAAGCGAGGAGGAGGCUCUUUUGGUUAAUACCCAAGAUGAGUGGACGUUACUCACAGAAUAAGCACCGGCUAACUCUGUGCCAGCCGCCGCAGUAA
rnacentral:rRNA from 1 species